CAGGAGCUUGGGCUGCAGCCUCCGGGGAGGAUAGGUGCUGGGAUGUGGACCCGGGUUUGACGGUUUAAACAUCAUCAAACGCCACAUCCCUUUUGAAAAGCAAGAGCUACCUUGCUGAGGAUGUUGAGGAGAAACAGGAACAUUAAAAUCUACGAAGCAAAUGGCCCAGAAUUGACAUUUGUGACGGGAGCCUUACAGCUCUGUCAAAGGAGCUAAGGCCUGCUUGGCAGCUGGCGGGGAACUUUCUGGAUACACCUCCCCUCUGAGCCUCGGUUUUCUCGUCUGUAAACCUGGGAGAGUGAUGCCCCCCCCGAAGGUGGUUUGGAGGACGGAGAUGCAUGCAAAUGCCUGGCAAGUCACUGGAAC